UACGUAGGGGGCAAGCGUUGUCCGGAAUCAUUGGGCGUAAAGCGCGCGUAGGCGGCCCGGUAAGUCCGCUGUAAAAGUCCAGGGCUCAACCCUGGAACGCCGGUGGAUACUGUCGGGCUAGAGUCCGGAAGAGGCGAGUGGAAUUCCUGGUGUAGCGGUGGAAUGCGCAGAUAUCAGGAGGAACACCGAUGGCGAAGGCAGCUCGCUGGGACGGUACUGACGCUGAGGCGCGAAAGCGCGGGAGCGAACAGG
rnacentral:rRNA from 1 species